rnacentral:rRNA from 1 species
UACGGGGGGGGCAAGCGUUGUUCGGAAUUACUGGGCGUAAAGGGCUCGUAGGUGGCCAACUAAGUCAGACGUGAAAUCCCUCGGCUUAACCUGGGAACUGCACUUGUGACUGCAAGGCUGGAGUACGGCAGAGGGGGAUGGAAUUCCGCGUGUAGCAGUGAAAUGCGUAGAUAUGCGGAGGAACACCGAUGGCGAAGGCAAUCCCCUGGGCCUGUACUGACGCUCAUGCACGAAAGCGUGGGGAGCAAACAGG